AUCAUGCAGUCGAGCGAGGGGAUGAGGAGCUUGCUCUUAUGAAGUUAGCGGCGGACGGGUGAGUAACACGUGGGUAACCUGCCCAUAAGACUGGGAUAACUCCGGGAAACCGGGGCUAAUACCGGAUAACAUUUUGAACCGCAGGUUCAAAAUUGAAAGGCGGCUUCGGUUGUCAUUUAUGGAUGGACCCGCCUCGCAUUACUUAGUUGGAGAGGUAACGGCUCCCCAGGGAAACAAUGCGUGCCCAACCUGAGGGGGGGAUCGGCCACCCGGAGACUGAAACCCGGCCCAAACCCCUACGGGAGGCAGCAUUAGGAAAUCUUCCCCAGGGGACAAAACUCUGACGGAGCACCCCCGGGGGAGUGAUAAAGGCUUUCGAUCCGAAAAACUCUUUUGUAAGGAAAAAACAAGUGCUAGUUGAAUAAGCUGGCCUCUUGACGGCCCCUAACCAAAACCCCGCGGAUCACUACGUGCCAACAGCCGCGGUUAUACGUAUGUGGCACGUGUUAUCCAGAUUUAUUGCGUGUAAAGCGCGCGCACGUGGUUUCAUAUCUCUGAUGAGAACCCCCACGGCUCACCCGUGGAGGGUCAGUGGACUGUGGGACACUUGAGUGCAGAAGAGGAGAGUGGAUCUCUGUGUGUAGCGGUGAUGUGCAUAGAUAUGUGGAAGAACACGUGUGGAGAGCGACACUUUGUGCUCUGUAUCUGACUCUGAUGCGAAAACGCGUGGGAGAACACACAAGAUUAUAUACCGUGAUACUACACGCCAUACACUAUGAGCGCUAAGUGUUAGAGGGUCUCCCCCUAUAGCUGCUGAGUUCACACAUUGAGCUCUCCGCCUGGGAGAGUACCGCCGCAGUGCUGACUCUCAGGAGUAUUAGACGGGACGCCCCGCACGAGGUGGUAGAGCAUGUGUUUUUAUUCGAGCACGCAGAGAAUCUUACAUGUCUGAC
rnacentral:rRNA from 1 species